AAUACACGUCACUUAUAGAGGUUCGGUGAAUUGAACGUUGUUCAUUCAUGAUUCGUACACAUAAAGAAGAAUGAGUCAUCAAAACGGGAAUGAUUCAAACAAGUGAAAGUGAAUUAAUUAAUCCUGUCUCCACGAAGAUUUAAAUCCUCAUGGCAUAAUCAAGAAGAACAUCCCUCAUUGAAGCUAGAUGAGCAUGUACCAACAUUUCAUGCUCGUCAGUGCAACAAUCAACACAAAAGCACAUUUCCUGUGAUCUUUUAAAUCUCAAAAAUGAACGUUUCCGAUCAGACAUUAGAAAAACCAUCUUUUUGCGAUUGAGCUUGCAAGAUCAGGCUUGCUAUUUUUGUCGAGUCAUUUCAAGAUGGCUUAUUUAUCCACGGCUAUCAGGUCGCCAUGAAAGCUGUUGAAUUCCAGCACCACGUCUCAACCUCGAAAGUGGAAAAUGUGCUCGUUGCCAACGAAACUUAAAAGCAAACUGUCAAAGGGAUUUCCUUUCCUGUUGCAUUCAUCCCGGCUUUCCACUUUCUGCAUACACGGCACCACAUGCUAUCUAUAGUUGUGCAUGAAGCUGGCCUUUUUGGUUUGAACGAACCUCAUCUGUUUCCCAAGUGGCGUAGCCUUUGGAGAAUGGGAAAACGUGUCCGGAGAAAUUGGCUUCGCGAAUGAUGGCUUUGAUCCUAUUCAUGGCCGGGAUCUGCUCACUGGGUCCCUCCAGAAGGCGAUGAGUAAACUCAAAAAUGGACAUCUGUAAUUGAGAGCAGCCUUAUCCCUUUGAAAGAGGCUUGCUUACAUGUGAAGGUCACUCUUCCCCAAUCAAAAAGCUUUCACGACCACCCGAAAGCUGAAAAUCUUCCCAUGGGGUUCGGCAACUAAAUAUGAGACCAGCGGGGAAUGUGCCAAAAGGAACACUCAAGAAAUUGAUUGCAUCACCAUCUAAGCGGAAACGUGGGGUUUGCUUCCCAUACGCAAACGACUUCGUCCAUUGACGAAGCAAACCAAAACUAUUUCUAGGAUUGGCACAACCAACAGACCGACUUGUCUAUCUAAGAAGUGUUCUGAUUACCUUCAAACUGUGAUACAUAAUUAGUGAAUUGCAAAGCCCAAGAAUCCACAUGGGAUAUGAUGUCUUGCUGACUAGAGAUGGCUUCAGCCACAGACUUGAUUUUGGGGAACUCUUCAGGCAAAUCGAGAUCUGUCAUGAAUACGUGGACAGUCUCCCCUUGACUGGGAUAAUACCUGGAAAGCAAGAAGAUCGAUUAUUUCGUGCUCAUUUAUCAAAAGAUUACAUGCCACCACUUCCACCACCCAACUCUCAACUCUCAAUAUCCAGACUUGCUGGAGAAAUGAGAGCAACAAAUCAAACUGGAAUAAGUGUGCAUGCUCUAUAAUGUGUUUUUGGAGUACUAGAGAAUAGACAUGACUGAGUGAUUUCUCUUGGCACAUUGCUUA